ACAUCUUUUUUCUUACUCUCUCUCCUCACGCCAUUUCUGGCGUCCAACAGAGGGCUCUUUGGCAGCUUGUUCUCUUGGCUUCCUUGCUCUGAUUUCUCACAUGCAAUCACUUCCCUAGGUUCUUCAAGGUGUUGUUCAUACUGGGUAGACGUUAGUUUUGAGGUUUCAACAUUGUAAGCCAAAGAAAAACUAAGGAAGGUCUUAAAGAGUUGCUGGAGGAGUAGUACGAGUUGCUAAGCAAGGGCUAAAUUCCUAAACACCAAAUUAAGUUGUUUUGCAGGAAUAAGCUGAAGGUCA